UUCCAUUGGCAGGCCGUGAAAU
rnacentral:siRNA from 1 species